AUUGAACGCUGGCGGCAUGCUUUACACAUGCAAGUCGAACGGUAACAGGGAGCUUGCUCCGCUGACGAGUGGCGAACGGGUGAGUAAUGCGUCGGAACGUGCCGAGUAGUGGGGGAUAACGCAUCGAAAGGUGUGCUAAUACCGCAUACGUACUGAGGUAGAAAGUGGGGGACCUUCGGGCCUCACGCUAUUCGAGCGGCCGACGUCUGAUUAGCUAGUUGGUGAGGUAAAGGCUCACCAAGGCGACGAUCAGUAGCGGGCCUGAGAGGAUGAUCCGCCACACUGGGACUGAGACACGGCCCAGACUGCUACGGGAGGCAGCAGUGGGGAAUUUUGGACAAUGGGCGCAAGCCUGAUCCAGCCAUGCCGCGUGUGUGAAGAAGGCCUUCGGGUUGUAAAGCACUUUCAGUAGGGAGGAAGGGUGUUGUGUUAAUAGCACAGCAUUUUGACGUUACCUACAGAAGAAGCACCGGCUAACUCUGUGCCAGCCGCCGCGGUAAAAC
rnacentral:rRNA from 1 species